rnacentral:lncRNA from 1 species
GCUCAAGCACAACUGCAAGAGACUUCCUAUGCUCCUAAACACAAUCAAGAGACUUCUAAUGCUCAAGCACAACUACAAGAGACUUCUAAAUUCAAACAGAAUUACAAGAAAAAUGUUUGAGGUUGAACACUUGAUUUCAGUGGUGUUCACAAUACAAAUCAGAUACAAACUCUUAAGACUCUAGAAUUUCUAAGAUAUGAACUUUGAUAAGAAAUUCUAAGUGAACUUUUG